UCUGUCUGCUGGAUCUUCUUGCACACACAACAAUCCAAUGUGAAUGCAUUUCAGCACCUCGGACGCAACACUUGACCCCUCAAUUAAUGGGUCCAUCAGCUCCAAUCCUUGAUUCUUGGACCACAGUUUCCAUGCAAAAGUUAGGAGGCUUUCACCCUUUUCUGAAAAAUGAAAGCCGUUGUUCUUUUUUCCACUGAUUAUCUCUAAUAGGAUGACUCCGAAACUGAAAACAUCAGAUUUUAUAGAGAAGAGUCCCUCCAUU
rnacentral:misc_RNA from 1 species